rnacentral:misc_RNA from 1 species
GGCAAAAUGGUCAAUCCAUUAAUAAUAAUACUAAUAUUAACAUUUAUUUUGGGCAUUUAUUUUCUACCUGCAAAUUGGAAAAGAAGCCAUCUAGGCAUCCCUACAAAGAAAGAUUAAGGUCUAAUUCAUUGUUUCCUCCUUCCUCUUCUUUCUUCUGUUUUUUUUUUUCAUCUUCUGCAGUCUUGGAAGGACCAGCAACUCCCUUACUAUCCUUAACAAUAUCUUGUAUAAAAUCUUCUGGUUGGAAUGAUGGAUUCCAAGCAGCAGCUGCUUGAGGUUUCUUCUUUUCUUUCUCUUUGGAUCCAUUAUUGCCUCUUCUCAUAAGAUCUCUUGAGCUUCUUAUCAAAGCAAAGAACUUCUCCAUCUUCUCUUCAUCAUCUUCUUCCAACUCUGUCUCUUCUUUCUCUCUCUCUUGUUCUUGAACAUUCUCAAUCUUCCUCUUCCUCGUUGCCUCACUCUCCAUGCAAGCUUUUCCUCAAACAGGAGUAAAGAAAAUUAAAGAUAUAAAACACAAGAACAAGUAAACUGUAGAGAGACCGAGUCUUUUCUCAUUGCCUAUUAUAUGAAGAAUCACAAUCCAUGCAUAUGCUUACAUGUAAUAUAAGUACAAAACACUUGCCUAAGCUUAAUUAGCCAUAUAGCCAGUGACUCACCAACUGCAAAAGCUGUGAUAAUAUUUCACUACAUAUAUAGAGUCAUCAAUGGGUGGG